CGAACGAACUCUGGUAUUGAUUGGUGCUUGCAUCAUGAUUUACAUUUGAGUGAGUGGCGAACUGGUGAGUAACACGUGGGAAACCUGCCCAGAAGCGGGGGAUAACACCUGGAAACAGAUGCUAAUACCGCAUAACAACUUGGACCGCAUGGUCCGAGUUUGAAAGAUGGCUUCGGCUAUCACUUUUGGAUGGUCCCGCGGCGUAUUAGCUAGAUGGUGGGGUAACGGCUCACCAUGGCAAUGAUACGUAGCCGACCUGAGAGGGUAAUCGGCCACAUUGGGACUGAGACACGGCCCAAACUCCUACGGGAGGCAGCAGUAGGGAAUCUUCCACAAUGGACGAAAGUCUGAUGGAGCAACGCCGCGUGAGUGAAGAAGGGUUUCGGCUCGUAAAACUCUGUUGUUAAAGAAGAACAUAUCUGAGAGUAACUGUUCAGGUAUUGACGGUAUUUAACCAGAAAGCCACGGCUAACUACGUGCCAGCAGCCGCGGUAAUACGUAGGUGGCAAGCGUUGUCCGGAUUUAUUGGGCGUAAAGCGAGCGCAGGCGGUUUUUUAAGUCUGAUGUGAAAGCCUUCGGCUCAACCGAAGAAGUGCAUCGGAAACUGGGAAACUUGAGUGCAGAAGAGGACAGUGGAACUCCAUGUGUAGCGGUGAAAUGCGUAGAUAUAUGGAAGAACACCAGUGGCGAAGGCGGCUGUCUGGUCUGUAACUGACGCUGAGGCUCGAAAGUAUGGGUAGCAAACAGGAUUAGAUACCCUGGUAGUCCAUACCGUAAACGAUGAAUGCUAAGUGUUGGAGGGUUUCCGCCCUUCAGUGCUGCAGCUAACGCAUUAAGCAUUCCGCCUGGGGAGUACGGCCGCAAGGCUGAAACUCAAAGGAAUUGACGGGGGCCCGCACAAGCGGUGGAGCAUGUGGUUUAAUUCGAAGCUACGCGAAGAACCUUACCAGGUCUUGACAUACUAUGCAAAUCUAAGAGAUUAGACGUUCCCUUCGGGGACAUGGAUACAGGUGGUGCAUGGUUGUCGUCAGCUCGUGUCGUGAGAUGUUGGGUUAAGUCCCGCAACGAGCGCAACCCUUAUUAUCAGUUGCCAGCAUUAAGUUGGGCACUCUGGUGAGACUGCCGGUGACAAACCGGAGGAAGGUGGGGAUGACGUCAAAUCAUCAUGCCCCUUAUGACCUGGGCUACACACGUGCUACAAUGGAUGGUACAACGAGUUGCGAACUCGCGAGAGUAAGCUAAUCUCUUAAAGCCAUUCUCAGUUCGGAUUGUAGGCUGCAACUCGCCUACAUGAAGUCGGAAUCGCUAGUAAUCGCGGAUCAGCAUGCCGCGGUGAAUACGUUCCCGGGCCUUGUACACACCGCCCGUCACACCAUGAGAGUUUGUAACACCCAAAGUCGGUGGGGU
rnacentral:rRNA from 1 species